rnacentral:lncRNA from 1 species
CUCAAUGUAGUGGGUAAGUGCUGGAACAUAAAUUAGAGUGUGAUUUAAGAAUUAAAAAAAAAAAAAAAGAAUUAGUUUUGGUUUCACUUAUUGAAAGAAAAGCAUGAUAUAAUUUUGAUGAGGUAAUGCUAUACAUCAAAUGAGAUAAAAUGGCUGUCUUUGCAAUGAGUUUUAUUUACACACAUGGUGAGUAUAAUGGAGUACUUUAUGUCCUCCAUAAUUUUUUUAUUUUGUGAUAAGUUCUAUAUAUUUCCCUUAAAAAUCUCUCUAUAUGUGAUGUCUUAUACAGAUAUUACUUCUAUAUAAUACUUAUUUGAUAUUUUGUUCUGUUAGUUCAACUGAAUGUAAUAAAACUAAAAUUGUGUCUGGUUUACAGAAAUCCAAUUACUCUCAAACUUUAUUAUUUAUUUCAUUUUGAAAGUACCUUCUUUUUCCUCCUAGCACCCAGAUUUUCAACUAUAUGGAUCCACAUAGCUGUAGCCUUAUGCUAUCAUGGUUCACAAAUAUAGUACUUUCUAUAGGUCUAUGCUGCUUGUGAGGAGUAUCAUAUAUAUUAAAUAAACAGUUUUCACUAAUGAAUACAUCAAUUUACAUACCUGCUCAAGUUCAUGAGAAUUUGUUUCAUGUCCUCAUCAAUAUUUUUUUGUAUCUGAUGUUAUUUUCUAUUUCUCUAAUUUGUUUCAAUGUUGAGAGGUUUAGAAUUUGAACAUUUCUUCCACAAAAAGUGGUUAUUAAAGUCUCUUACCUCAUUUUUAAGAAAAAAAUAAAUAAAAAG